rnacentral:rRNA from 1 species
UACGGAGGGUGCAAGCGUUACUCGGAAUCACUGGGCGUAAAGAGCGUGUAGGCGGGUAUAUAAGUCAGAAGUGAAAUCCAAUAGCUCAACUAUUGAACUGCUUUUGAAACUGUAUACCUAGAAUGUGGGAGAGGUAGAUGGAAUUUCUGGUGUAGGGGUAAAAUCCGUAGAGAUCAGAAGGAAUACCGAUUGCGAAGGCGAUCUACUGGAACAUUAUUGACGCUGAGACGCGAAAGCGUGGGGAGCAAACAGGAUUAGAUACCCUGGUAGUCCACGCCCUAAACGAUGUACACUAGUUGUUGUGAGGCUCGACCUUGCAGCAAUGCAGUUAACACAUUAAGUGUACCGCCUGGGGAGUACGGUCGCAAGAUUAAAACUCAAAGGAAUAGACGGGGACCCGCACAAGCGGUGGAGCAUGUGGUUUAAUUCGACGAUACACGAAGAACCUUACCUGGACUUGACAUAGUAAGAACUUUCUAGAGAUAGAUUGGUGUCUGCUUGCAGAAACUUAUAUACAGGUGCUGCACGGCUGUCGUCAGCUCGUGUCGUGAGAUGUUGGGUUAAGUCCCGCAACGAGCGCAACCCUCGUCCUUAGUUGCUAACAGUUCGGCUGAGAACUCUAAGGAGACUGCCUACGCAAGUAGGAGGAAGGUGAGGACGACGUCAAGUCAUCAUGGCCCUUACGUCCAGGGCUACACACGUGCUACAAUGGGGUAUACAAAGAGCAGCAAUACGGUGACGUGGAGCAAAUCUCAAAAAUAUCUCCCAGUUCGGAUUGUAGUCUGCAACUCGACUACAUGAAGUUGGAAUCGCUAGUAAUCGUAGAUCAGCUAUGCUACGGUGAAUACGUUCCCGGGUCU